rnacentral:lncRNA from 1 species
UUUUUUUUAAACGGUCUCGCGCGCAGAAAAAUAAAUAAAAGAAAAUCUAAACGAACUUCAAAAUUAAUGAAGUAAAUUUUCCCCGACUCGUAAAAAUGAGCCGAACAAAAUAAACUUUACUCGGGACCUAAAAAGCAAUUUUUGAAAACACGCAUUUUUUCCCUAUCCAAAUAAAAUGCGAAUAAAACUCCGGCAAACAAAGUUUGAUCUAUUUAUUAAAUCUUCAUUUUCCUAAAUUUGGGAAAGUCAUAUUAUUCCCUCCCUUAUAUUUUUGAUAACGGAAAAAUAAUUGAAGAUGAAAUAAAUAAAUCAAAUGAUCCUCUUUUCAAUUCGAGAAAACUCUCAAAUAUGAAAAUAACGAAAUCUCCAACUCUCUCCAAGGGUCCUUGAGUUGCGUGAAAUUUCUAGGAUCGACCAAAAUGCAAGAAAAUAAAAUAUGCAUGAUGAUCUAUUCCAAAUUGAAAAUAAAUUCAAAGGGGGCUUUGAAUUUAAUUUUUUGAAACUCCCAACUCAUAUUUCAUAUAAUUUGAAGAAGUCAUUUUAUCUUCUCUCGUGAAAAUCAUUAAGUCGCAUAGAGUUUUAGAAUUGGAAUAUUUUCCAAAUGAAAUUCAAAUAUUUUUCAAACACCCUUUUCAUUUUAAAUGGAAGAAGUCAUGUCAUCUUCUCUCUAGGGUUUUGUGUUUGAAAAGCAUUUGAAUUCACGGAGAGCAUAAAAUGCAAAAAUGAAAGUUUGGGAAAGUCCUUUUAUUCCCUCUCAUUUAACUUUCAAAAAGGUUUCGAAUUCACUCACUUUCAGACAGUCAAUCAAACAAUCAGUCAAAUCUAUCUAUUUAUUAUAACAUUCCAAAAUUUAGAAUUUUGGGAUGUUACACUUCAUGUUCCCACAAAUCGUGUGUAUAUUUCACAUGAUGUUAUCUUUGAUGAGCAUGUUUUUCCUUUCUCUAAUCUUCCCACUCCUGUCACCACACCCGCCGAACCAGUGCAUUCAUCUCCUUUAUUGCCUGAUCAAUUUGUAGAUGUUGCACACUCGCCUCUUUUGUUGUCUAACCAUGGUGCAGGAACUAGUAGAGGUGCCCGGCUUGUUCUCUUGGAGGACUCCCCCGCUGCUCCGACGGUUUCUUUGACGGAUCAUGUCGAUCCUGCCGCUGCGACUCCCUGCAUGGGGCAUCCAGGGUCCCCUUCGCUCACGCCCGCUACGCACUUGGACCCGGCUCCGGUAGCGGCGGGCUCGCCCUCGAUGGUUCACAUCGAUCCCGCACCGCCUCCUCCCUGCAUGGGCCAUGCAGGGUCGUCUGCCCCCGCACCCGCUACGCGGGAGGACCCGACUCCGCUGUUGCUGGAGCUUCCCGCGUCCCCUGGGCUGGACUCGCCCGCGACUGGGCUGGCCUCGCCUGUGUCAACCAGUCAGGGGACGCCCGCCCCAUUGGGUCGCCUCCUGACAGCCCGUCCUCGCCGCAGUCUCCCUCUGCUGGACGUCACCUGCUGCCACCACCACUUGCUUCUUCUUCUCCGGAGACGCGGGCCACUCCACUGAUGGUUCCUGCACCCUCGAUCCCGCCAAUGGCUCCUGUUGCUCAUCGUCCACACACUCGCAGCAAGAGUGGUAUUGUUCUUCCGUGAAAACGCACCGAUGGCACGGUUGCAUGGCUUGCGGCUUGCAUCGCUCAUUCUGAAACUGAUCCUUCCGUUGAACCUCGUCAUUAUCAGGCAGCUAUGGGUAUCCCUCACUAGCAUUCUGCGAUGGAACAAGAGUAUCAGGCAUUGCUGAAAAAUGGUACGUGGCGUCUUGUUCCUCUGAAGAGUGGUGCCAAUAUUAUUGACUCUAAAUGGGUAUUCAAAGUUAAGCGACAUGCUGAUGGCUCUAUUGAACGGUAUAAGGUUCGACUUGUUGCUCGUGGGUUCAAACAACGUCAAGGCCUUGAUUAUGAUGAUACCUUCAGUCCUAUGAUCAAGCCUACGACUAUUCGUCUGCUUUUGUCUCUUGCUGUUACUCGUGGAUGGUUUCUUCGACAGCUCGAUGUUCAGAAUGAUUUUCUCCAUGGAGUUUUUGAUGAAGAGGUCUAUAUGCGUCAGCUGCCUGGGUUUGUUGAUCCUGCUCGUCCGCAUCAUUUGUGUCGUCUCGUCAAGGCUUUUUAUGGUCUCAAACAGGCGCCUCAUGCCUGGCAUGCGCGUCUUGGUUCUGCUCUUCGCGCACAUGGAUUUGUCCCUUCGACCGCUGAUACGUCUUUGUUCAUGCUACAGCGCCCUACGGUCACUAUGUACCUAAUGGUGUAUGUCGAUGACAUCAUCUUGAUCAGCUCGUCAGCCUUUGCUGCGGAUCGUCUUGUUUCUGCUUUGAGUGGUGACUGCUAUUACAGAUCUUGGUCGGCUUCAUUAUUUCCUUGGUUUGGAGGUCUCUCAUUCUGAUGCCGGUCUGACUCUCACUCAGCAGAAAUAUUCUCUGGAUUUGCUUCAUCGUGCUGGUAUGCUCCAAUGCAAAGCCUGCUACUACUCCCAUGACAACUUAUGGUCGCCUCUCUGCACUUGAUGGUACUCUUCUUCCGUCGGAUGAGGCUACAACGUAUCGCAGUAUUGUUGGUGGCUUACAGUAUUUGACGAUCACUCGUCCUGAUAUCUCCUAUACGGUUAACAGUGUAUACCAGUUUCUUCAUGCUCCUCGAGAUACUCACUGGACUGCUGUCAAACGCAUUCUGUGCUAUGUUUGUUUCACUGCUGCUCUGGGUCUGCAUCUUCGGUCUGCUCCUUCUGGUAGCCUCUCGGCUUUUUUUGAUGCUGAUUGGGCUGGUAGCCCGGAUGACAGGCAAUCUAUGAGGGGAUAUGCAGUGUUCUAUGGUCCUAAUUUGAUCGCCUGGAGUGCUCGUAAACAGGCUACAGUAUUGUGUAGUAGUACUGAAGCUGAAUAAAAGUACUGGCAAUGCCACUGCUAAGUGAUUUGGGUUCAGUCCUUACUUCGAGAGUUGUGGGUCUCUCAGAUUCAUCCUCCUGUUCUUUGGUGUGACAACAUCGGUGCUACGUACCUUUCUUUAAAUUCGGUAUUUCAUAACCGAACAAAACACAUCAAAGUUGACUAUCAUUUUGUCAGAGAACGACUUUCACAGAAGUUACUUCAGAUCAAGUUUAUUUCUUCUAAAGAUCAACUUGCUGAUAUCUUCACGAAGCCGUUGCCAUUGCCUCAGUUUGAGGGUUGUCGUCGCAAUCUUAAUUUUCUGAAAUCUCCAUUGCCUCAGUUUGAGGGUUGUCGUCGCAAUCUUAAUUUUCUGAAAUCUUCAGACCACGGUUAGGUUGAGAGAGGGUGUUAGACUUGUAGUUAUACGUAAAUACGCAUUACAACUUGUAUACAGUUGUAUUUGUACUCAAAGAGAUUUUCCUCCACAUAUAUAUAUAUAUAUAUAUAUAUAUAUAUAUAUAUAUAUAUAUAUAUAUAUAUUUUGUCGUGGCCGACCCAUGAGGUGUCGAAGUCCACAAUACCCCAAAACCUUUUGCUUAACAGGGUUCAAGGAUCAUCGCUACUCUUUUGGAUCCGGAAGGCAAAAAGUGACUUCAGGCGAAGGACAAGGAGCUCAACACGUGAAAAGAGAGUGUAGCCGCGCCGAAUGAUUCAUUCUUGUAUCAGUAUGAAUUAUCGUAUUUUCUUCUGGCACGUUUAUUUUGUUGCACAAUUAACCAACGCAAUAUCACGAACCCGUAACAGAUGAGGAUACUAUAUUGCACUGGAAACUUAUUACACAAACGGAGCAAACAUCACCUAGGAGAUACUAUAGGGGCAACCAUGCACAGCAAGGCCACCCUCCAUUAUUAACCAAAAGUACCACACACUAUACAUACAUAUAUAGCGAUAAACCAUAGCUGCAAGUGUUGGAUUUAAAGGAUUUGAAGCAGCUGCUUUGGCGGCGGCGGCUAGUAGUCCUCCGGCGCGAGCGGCUGGUGGGCGUGGGCGGCGGUCUCGGUAGACGGCAUGACGACGUACUCGUAGAGGAGCCCAGCGAGGCCGGAGCCGAGGAAGGGCCCGAGCCAGUAGACCCAGUGGUGCCUCCACCGCCACCCGACGAGCGCCGGCCCGAAGACCCGCGCCGGGUUCAUCGCGGCGCCAUCGAACGGCCCGCCGGCGAGUAUGUUAGCCCCGAGCAGGAACCCCACGGCGAGCGGCCCGAUGGUGCCCACGUGGCCCCUCUUGGGGUCGAUGACCGUCGCGUAGUAG